rnacentral:rRNA from 1 species
AGCGAACGCUGGCGGUAGGCCUAACACAUGCAAGUCGAACGGCAGCACAGUAAGAGCUUGCUCUUACGGGUGGCGAGUGGCGGACGGGUGAGGAAUACAUCGGAAUCUACUUUUUCGUGGGGGAUAACGUAGGGAAACUUACGCUAAUACCGCAUACGACCUACGGGUGAAAGCAGGGGAUCUUCGGACCUUGCGCGAUUGAAUGAGCCGAUGUCGGAUUAGCUAGUUGGCGGGGUAAAGGCCCACCAAGGCGACGAUCCGUAGCUGGUCUGAGAGGAUGGUCAGCCACACUGGAACUGAGGCACGGUCCAGACUCCUACGGGAGGCAGCAGUGGGGAAUAUUGGACAAUGGGCGCAAGCCUGAUCCAGCCAUAGCGCGUGGGUGAAGAAGGCCUUCGGGUUGUAAAGCCCUUUUGUUGGGAAAGAAAAGCAGCAGGUUAAUACCCCGCUGUUCUGACGGUACCCAAAGAAUAAGCACCGGCUAACUUCGUG